rnacentral:rRNA from 1 species
CGAAUGCUGACAUAAGUAACGAUAAAGCGGGUGAAAAGCCCGCUCGCCGGAAGACCAAGGGUUCCUGUCCAACGUUAAUCGGGGCAGGGUGAGUCGACCCCUAAGGCGAGGCCGAAAGGCGUAGUCGAUGGGAAACAGGUUAAUAUUCCUGUACUUGGUGUUACUGCGAAGGGGGGACGGAGAAGGCUAUGUUGGCCGGGCGACGGUUGUCCCGGUUUAAGCGUGUAGGCUGGUUUUCCAGGCAAAUCCGGAAAAUCAAGGCUGAGGCGUGAUGACGAGGCACUACGGUGCUGAAGCAACAAAUGCCCUGCUUCCAGGAAAAGCCUCUAAGCAUCAGGUAACAUCAAAUCGUACCCCAAACCGACACAGGUGGUCAGGUAGAGAAUACCAAGGCGCUUGAGAGAACUCGGGUGAAGGAACUAGGCAAAAUGGUGCCGUAACUUCGGGAGAAGGCACGCUGAUAUGUAGGUGAAGUCCCUCGCGGAUGGAGCUGAAAUCAGUCGAAGAUACCAGCUGGCUGCAACUGUUUAUUAAAAACACAGCACUGUGCAAACACGAAAGUGGACGUAUACGGUGUGACGCCUGCCCGGUGCCGGAAGGUUAAUUGAUGGGGUCAGCGCAAGCGAAGCUCUUGAUCGAAGCCCCGGUAAACGGCGGCCGUAACUAUAACGGUCCUAAGGUAGCGAAAUUCCUUGUCGGGUAAGUUCCGACCUGCACGAAUGGCGUAAUGAUGGCCAGGCUGUCUCCACCCGAGACUCAGUGAAAUUGAACUCGCUGUGAAGAUGCAGUGUACCCGCGGCAAGACGGAAAGACCCCGUGAACCUUUACUAUAGCUUGACACUGAACAUUGAGCCUUGAUGUGUAGGAUAGGUGGGAGGCUUUGAAGUGUGGACGCCAGUCUGCAUGGAGCCGACCUUGAAAUACCACCCUUUAAUGUUUGAUGUUCUAACGUGGACCCGUAAUCCGGGUUGCGGACAGUGUCUGGUGGGUAGUUUGACUGGGGCGGUCUCCUCCUAAAGAGUAACGGAGGAGCACGAAGGUUGGCUAAUCCUGGUCGGACAUCAGGAGGUUAGUGCAAUGGCAUAAGCCAGCUUGACUGCGAGCGUGACGGCGCGAGCAGGUGCGAAAGCAGGUCAUAGUGAUCCGGUGGUUCUGAAUGGAAGGGCCAUCGCUCAACGGAUAAAAGGUACUCCGGGGAUAACAGGCUGAUACCGCCCAAGAGUUCAUAUCGACGGCGGUGUUUGGCACCUCGAUGUCGGCUCAUCACAUCCUGGGGCUGAAGUAGGUCCCAAGGGUAUGGCUGUUCGCCAUUUAAAGUGGUACGCGAGCUGGGUUUAGAACGUCGUGAGACAGUUCGGUCCCUAUCUGCCGUGGGCGCUGGAGAAUUGAGGGGGGCUGCUCCUAGUACGAGAGGACCGGAGUGGACGCAUCACUGGUGUUCGGGUUGUCAUGCCAAUGGCACUGCCCGGUAGCUAAAUGCGGAAGAGAUAAGUGCUGAAAGCAUCUAAGCACGAAACUUGCCCCGAGAUGAGUUCUCCCUGACC